GUUGCCUUUCAAGGCAUUUAUUUAAUUUUCUCACAUCUUCUUUAAGCAAUUAUAUAUAAAAAACGAGAUGGAAAUAAUUACUUUAUAGUUAAAAAGAAAUUCAUUUGUAAAGUUACAUUAUUUGUCAGUUCCUGUCAUUUCACGAUGUCACUUCCUUUGGAAGUCACUUCCUGUGUAGUCACUUCCUGUUGACUAACUUCCUGUUUAGCUCUACCUGGGUUUGUUGAAAGCAUGGCAGACAUGAGCACAGUCCGAAUUCAAUCCGCUAGCAUCCAUAUUGAAGCAUCAUAGAGGCAAUGCCUUUUCACCAACAUGUCAAUGAGGAAUUGUGACAGUAAAUGGUCAACCUUA